rnacentral:rRNA from 1 species
GCAGUGGGGAAUAUUGGACAAUGGGCGCAAGCCUGAUCCAGCCAUGCCGCGUGUGUGAAGAAGGCCUUAUGGUUGUAAAGCACUUUAAGCGAGGAGGAGGCUACUUUAGAUAAUACCUAGAGAUAGUGGACGUUACUCGCAAAAUAAGCACCGGCUAACUCUGUGCCAGCAGCCGCGGUAAUACAGAGGGUGCAAGCGUUAAUCGGAUUUACUGGGCGUAAAGCGCGCGUAGGCGGCUAAUUAAGUCAAAUGUGAAAUCCCCGAGCUUAACUUGGGAAUUGCAUUCGAUACUGGUUAGCUAGAGUGUGGGAGAGGAUGGUAGAAUUCCAGGUGUAGCGGUGAAAUGCGUAGAGAUCUGGAGGAAUACCGAUGGCGAAGGCAGCCAUCUGGCCUAACACUGACGCUGAGGUGCGAAAGCAUGGGGAGCAAACAGGAUUAGAUACCCUGGUAGUCCAUGCCGUAAACGAUGUCUACUAGCCGUUGGGGCCUUUGAGGCUUUAGUGGCGCAGCUAACGCGAUAAGUAGACCGCCUGGGGAGUACGGUCGCAAGACUAAAACUCA